UACGAGAGGCCCAAACGUUAUUCGGAAUUACUGGGCUUAAAGAGUUCGUAGGCGGCGCAGAAAGUAGGGUGUGAAAGCCCUCGGCUUAACCGAGGAAUUGCGCUCUAAACUACUGUGCUUGAGGAACCUAGAGGUGAGCAGAACAGAUGGUGGAGCGGUGAAAUGCGUAGAUAUCACUUGGAACGCCAACGGUGAAAACAGCUCGCUGGGGAUGUACUGACGCUGAGACACGAAAGCCAGGGGAGCAAACGGG
rnacentral:rRNA from 1 species